GCCGAAGUGGUGGAAUUGGUAGACGCGCUGGAUUCAAAAUCCAGUGGGGGCAACCCCGUGCGAGUUCGAUUCUCGCCUUCGGCACCA
rnacentral:tRNA from 1 species